UACAGAGGUCUCAAGCGUUGUUCGGAUUCAUUGGGCGUAAAGGGUGUGUAGGUGGCGCGCUAAGUCGGGUGUGAAAUUUCGGAGCUUAACUCCGAAACUGCAUUCGAUACUGGCGUGCUUGAGGACUGGAGAGGAGACUGGAAUUCAUGGUGUAGCAGUGAAAUGCGCAGAUAUCAGGAGGAACACCGGUGGCGAAGGCGGGUCUCUGGGGCAUAACUGACGCUGAGGAGCGAAAGCAUGGGGAGCGAACAGG
rnacentral:rRNA from 1 species